GUUGCUCACAGGGAAGAACAUGAGCUGGGAAUUCAGCAUGCUUUUUACAAGGAAUCUGGGAAGGAGCAAUAAUGCUAUAGCCCUGGCUGGGCAGGUGGAACGUGAAUUCUGGGCACUGCAGGUGGGACAUAGCUUUCAAGCCUCCACAGCCCACCUUGACUUCAGUAGGAGCUGUGGAGGCUUUCAGUACAUUGGAAAAUAAGGCUCACUGCAGUAAGUUGCAUUUAAGGGAGAGAAAACCAUGAUGCUUUCAAUCCCAGCGGAACAAAGAUCACUUACGUUGAAGUGUUUUGCUUUCCUCCAUCCUAGUUUCAAGUGAUUCAGACCAGGCAGGUUUCCUCACCUAGGUGUGUUACUUCAUAUUAAUCACUUCAGCAAAAGCUGAAGAAUGUAAGUUAUUACAUUUCUCACCAAAGAUCAAAUUGAAAGCUCAUGGACUGUAGUCUGACCUGAGCUGGGUGUUGAAAGAGAUCUUAUUAAUGAAGUAUAUUUACCGCUUAUCUUUACUUCAGUCUUAACGUGAGUUAUCCAAACCCUGUCCAGAUACAGGGUCCAGAUACGGAUCCUUCCCCUGAAUGUGACUGUGCUCUUAAUUCAAGGUGACUGCUUGUAUGAGGAUAACAAACAGCACAAUUCCUUAGCCAUUAACCCACCAUCUCUGUAGUGCAUACAUAAACUAGUUUCACUGAAGGACACAUACCCUCAGAUAUUCCCUUCUCCCCUGCAGUGCUCGAAAAGACACAGUGCCUACAAGUAAGUUCAUAAGGUAGCUCGGCUCACUGAAGCACUAAAGACCAUGGGAUGCAUCCCCCAAAGUGCCUAACCCCAGGUGAGAACUGCAGUGCAGAUGCUGAUGUGUUGUGUAGUUGCUCACCGGAGGCAAACCUGGAGUGACGAGGAGCCCUCCAUCAGGGAACAGGUAGCAGUACUUGCGUCCUAUAGAUGCUGUGAGUCCCUAGAUCCUUUCCGAGCACUUUGAAGGCUGUUGUAUUCCGUAUCAAAAGUGAGCAACAGCUACCCAGAGGAAGGGGAGCUAGCACUAGGCAGUCAGCUGCAUGGGCUAAGAGGUUUCUGGUCCCUGCUCACAUUUACUUCUAUUUUCUCAAAACUGCAAGGCAGGAAAGGCACCACAAAUGUACUUGAGAACACAUAGUUUGGUGAACCAGCUGUAGCACACGAACGCAGUGUCUUUUUAUGCCUCACCCCUCAUCUACUAUGUAGAAACAGCAGUGUGGGCUUGCAGAAAAACAGAACUUUAUGGAUGCCUAGGGCAGUAUGCUUUGCACUUACAUGAUCCUAUGGUGACGAUGCAUGCAACUUCAUGUCUGCCUGGGAAGUACAGCUGCCUAAGGAGCUAUAUUUAAGGGAAACUCUAGUUACAGUAUCCAAAAUAGUGUAACAGGUAAAGCACAGGAACUAGCUGUUCCCUGCCACAUUGAUCAGUGUUUCUAGUCCAUGAAUGAUGUUCUUCUCCCUUUCGUUAGCAGCCAAUAUCUUAAUUACACAGGAUCCACUGGAUGAUGUGAACUAAGGGCUUGACUCUGCUUUGCUGUGGGAUCCUUCAAAGAGGACAUUGGCAGGGUCGUUUCUGUGCGGGUGAGUUGCCUCUGGUUUUGAGAGUGCCUAGGACAGAAAGGACUGCCUUUCCCAUGGUAUGGAGGAGGGUUUUGUUUGUGUUACAAAAGAAAGGGGGAAGCUGGGAUUCAUGCUAAAUCUAAAUCCAAAGCGUAUAGACGAGCACUGGGCUCUGCCCCUAUUUACUAGUGUCCCAGCAAUGAUGGUAGGAUUUAACCACAUGCCAGCAUUUCAUCAGAUCGGGAAGAGUUUAGGCACAUGCUUAUAGGCAAAUAUGUUUAAUUGCUUGGUUAGUUCAAAGACUGGGAAAUGUUCCUGUGUGUGCCAAUUACAAAGGACAAAGUAGGAAAUAUCAACUCACAAUUGCAGAUCAAUCCUUCUAUAUAAAGAGUAACAUGGAUUAUAUGAACAAAACUCCUGGUCUAUAUCUCAUAGCAAAUUGCAGGGGAUUUGAGUGGAAAUGAGAUAGGACUGUUCCUAACUGAGAUCACACAAAAGUUUGCAAGUAAUUAAUUUUCAGUUCUUAAUGAUCUUCAAAUUCUUCUUAAUGCUGUACCUGGAGUGAAAGGGUCUCAGUAAACCCAGCAGGGUCUCCUGAGGGAGGACUGUAAAACUUGGCCUUUUCCAAAAGAGAGAACUUUAUUGCACUGAAAUUUUCUCUCUGCCAGAGCAGGUAAACAUUGGGAAAUUUCUUAUGAGAAUGUAUCCAUUGCAGCCUGACCUUCCUUUUAGCUUUGGUAAGAAGGGAGUCAUGGAGCCAACGCAUAGUCCACAGGAGGAGGAAAAAGGGUCUCUCCUGACCUGCAGCACCUUCUCUGGGUGUCCUAGGAGGCCUCGCUCGGCAGGCAGAAGAGGAUUUAGGCAGGUGUCAGCACCGGGGUGAGUGCAGGUGCUUUCCCGUGUGGUGAUCGAUCCCGGGAGUCUUUGCGGCACCAGCAGAUGCAACCCAGGGCAAUUCAGCCCCUGGGUCUCCACCAGCCCAGCCAUUCCCCGUGCUGCGAUGCUUCUGUCUUCACCCAAGCCCCACUGGCUCCCAGUUCCACUAGGGCAGAAGGGGUGGGUGCAGUGCAGUGUGUUUUGCCACAAUUUAUGACAGUUAUUUUAUUGCAAUUAUUUACUACCACAUCCCAGCAGCAAUGGGCUUGCCUGGCCACAGCAGGGAUGUGACCUGUUUCUGUGCAGCUUACCUCUGUUAAAGGUGCCACCAGGAUCCUCUCUGUCUGCUUCCAUCUCUGCCAUAAACUAAGCACUCUCUGGCAGUGGAGUGGGGUUUGUCGCUCCUGUCGGAUGUGAGAGGGGUCUUCACAUGCCCUCAAGCCCACUUUCAAAUGUGGAUGCCUCUCUUUUCAGUACCUAACUCCCCGUAGGAUGUCUAAAUUAAUGCAGCUUAUUUCUCAGACUAUUUAGUUUACUUUUAGCUACCCCAAAUUGCAAAUUUUGACCACACUGGAUGUUUUUGCCAAGGGGAAUUGCUCUCUACUGUCCAAGAGGAUAAGAUAGAAUUGGCAUGUUUCUUGUAAGGAGGACGCAAGUGGUUCAGCCAGAUGUGGGGAAAGGAAGAAAAACUACACCAACACUGCACAGAAACCUGCUCUUGCUCCUGGCUGCUGUGGAAAGCUGGGGGAGCAGUCAGCAAGGGCCCAUGGGCAGUUGUGUGGGUGUAUUUUCUAUUAACUUUGGAAAAAAUGCUAAUUCUGUUGCUUGACAGGAAACUAUGUGGGAGGCACACAUUUGCUGCUAUGGUGCUCUGCCAAUUGUGCUGACAAAAGCCCCUCACCCACAGAAAUACCCCCAGCAGCCAGCCUAGGAGAGGCAGCCCCAGUGAACAGAGCAGCAAAACGCAGAUUUGAGGGAUCAUUCAAAAGGGAGGCUCAUAUGCGCAGCCUUCCUGUGUCCCUGCCAUGCACCGCUGCUCGCCCUGGCCAGCCCUUCCAGCUGCACUGGAAAAAUCAGGGACCUUUUGCAUACUGUUGAAACCUCACAGCACUGAAUUGGGCUAUAUGAGGAAAAAACAGGACAGGGGCAUUUUGAUGCCCUUUGCCCUCCACAUUUAAAGCAUUAGGUAACGCAGCAGCAAUGAAUCUCAUUGCUGUUGCAGCAUUUUCCAUAAAUCCCACUGUCACGGUCAGGUACUGAGUCACCCCUUGUGACCAGCCUUCUGAAAGAUAUUUGCCUCCACACUGAGUGGUAGUAAAAGGCUUUAAAAAAUAGCAAUUAAUGACAGUUAGAGAGAGGUGUUUGUCAUUGCGAAAUUGUUUGUACCAAUACUUGUAAAGGUUUUCUGCCGGGACCUGAGUGAGCAGCAGAGCGGGUUUGGACAAUGCCGCGGACAUGCCAAGUGCUUCCCACUUGUCUCUAAUGCUGGUCAAUGGCCAUGUCUGUUCCAAAUCCAGCUGGACUUCUCAUUCCCUCAUAGUGAUGUUUAAUCUUUAGUUUUCUUCCUUAAAUUAACAAGAGCGGAUGCAUUUUACUUAAAUGCUCUUCCUAUGCUGGCUAAUGUUUUUUCCUCUUUACACACAAAGGACCUAAUCCAGCAUCCAUUGUAGUGACCGGGCUAACUCUCCCAUGGACAGUAAUGAAGUUUUUUUUAGGCCUGGAUUAUUCCACCACCAGGGUCACCUGUGUGUAGUACAUGCUUUCCUGUGGCUCUGUGUUCUGCCUAUUUCUGUGAUACUGUUACUGCCUUUCCAUGUUGUAUUUAUUUUUUAAAAGUAUACUUAUUACUGUAGCAGGACCUGUAUUAUGUGAGAUUGAACAAAACAGGUUCAAGAUCUGAAACACUUUCCUGAGAAGAGAAUGAAUGUGAAUUUUGUGAAGUUGUUUUACUGAUCAACCAACCUGUUUCCUAUCGUGUAAGAUCUUCUAGGGACGUAGAGGUGCUUUCUGCAGUCGCAGAUAAGAACUACUCGUCAGUUCACUCUUAUUUGUCCCUUCAGAAAUGAAGCAAGAUCUCCCAGUUUUGAAAGGGGUAUGCACUGUGUGCUUGUAAGAUUUUGGGAGCUUUGCAAUGUGUAUUUAAUUCUUUGUUCCCUUGAACUGCUGAAAUUGAAAAGCAGGACAGAAAUCCAUGAAGGGGUAAGAAAUUAAAAAAAAAAAAAGAAAUAUGCUUACUUGUUUUGCAGAAGUAAACAUCUAAAGCGAGUGUGGCUUCUGUACUGUAAAGUCAUAUGUGGGAUGACACCUCUUCUGUGUCUAGUUUGUGUUGCAUGAGUGUCAUAUCCUUGUUGACGGAAAACCUAGAGAGGGUGCCUGAUGUUCCUCAAAAGUAGUAUGCUAAGUUCCCUGGUCUUUAUUCUGGUAAAAUGCUAGAAGGGAUGGGAGUCUUGCUCAGGUUAAUGACCGCAGCAGGCAGCCCCCAGAUCUGCAAAAUGCUACAUGGAAAAGUCCUGUGGAAUACAGUAAAAACUGAUCACUUCUCCUGAACAAUGCCAUAGAAUUUGCCUGACGUAAAAGGUCUCCAAUGAAAUCUGCUAGGAUGGGUUUACUUUAAAGAAAAAAAAAACCAAAACAACAAACCAACAGAAUAAAUAUUUAAUAGUUUCCUUUUUUAAAGGAAAUUUUGUUAAACUCAGUCAUUUGUUUUAAGCCCUGUUAAGUUCUACAGGACUUUCUCCUAACAGAAGGUCAAACUUUGUGUGUAAAAUCAUAAUGGUUUAUUUGAGCAGCUUUCAGAAUUGCAGUAGUAAAGCUCACCUGUUGUGAGCUCUAUUUCAAUAGGUAAAUUUUCAGCAUUUGUUUCUGCUUCUGUUAUCAACCUGAAUGUAAAUCUGCUUUAUGUUCUUGACAUUGCCCGGUUUCCUUCCCUGUAUCUCUGAAUGUUUGCUUCCAAGUCGCUGGGGUUCUGAGGACAUUUUCCAAACCAGUAUUAUUUAAAGUUGUAUCAUAUUUUCAGCCUCCACUAAUUAUACAGUACUGUAGUAGCAAAAUAUAAUUUUUAAGGAUUGGAUUAUUUUUAUACCUGCAUCCAAUAUUAUUAAAUCUGGCGUUCUAGUCAGUAUUACAAAAGGAUACAAUAAAACUAUGAAUAUUA